rnacentral:rRNA from 1 species
UAUUGGACAAUGGGCGAAAGCCUGAUCCAGCAAUGCCGCGUGAGUGAUGAAGGCCUUAGGGUUGUAAAGCUCUUUUACCAGGGAUGAUAAUGACAGUACCUGGAGAAUAAGCUCCGGCUAACUCCGUGCCAGCAGCCGCGGUAAUACGGAGGGAGCUAGCGUUGUUCGGAAUUACUGGGCGUAAAGAGUACGUAGGCGGUGAUUCAAGUCAGAGGUGAAAGCCUGGAGCUCAACUCCAGAACUGCCUUUGAAACUAGAUCGCUAGAAUCAUGGAGAGGUUAGUGGAAUUCCGAGUGUAGAGGUGAAAUUCGUAGAUAUUCGGAAGAACACCAGUGGCGAAGGCGACUAACUGGACAUGUAUGACGCUGAGUACGAA